UAUUGUACAAUGGGCGCAAGCCUGAUCCAGCAAUGCCGCGUGAGUGAUGAAGGCCCUAGGGUUGUAAAGCUCUUUUACCCGGGAAGAUAAUGACUGUACCGGGAGAAUAAGCCCCGGCUAACUCCGUGCCAGCAGCCGCGGUAAUACGGAGGGGGCUAGCGUUGUUCGGAAUUACUGGGCGUAAAGCGCACGUAGGCGGCUUUGUAAGUCAGAGGUGAAAGCCUGGAGCUCAACUCCAGAACUGCCUUUGAGACUGCAUCGCUUGAAUCCAGGAGAGGUCAGUGGAAUUCCGAGUGUAGAGGUGAAAUUCGUAGAUAUUCGGAAGAACACCAGUGGCGAAGGCGGCUGACUGGACUGGUAUUGACGCUGAGGUGCGAAGAGUGGGUAGCGAAGAGGAUUAGAUACCCUGGUAGUCCACGCCGUAAACGAUGUGUGUUAGCUGUCCGAAAACUUAUGCUUGGGCCACGCAGCUAAUGUCCCUAGUGAUCCGCCUGGGGAGUACGACCGCAAGGUUGAAACUCAAAGGAAUUUACGGGGACCCGCACAAGCUGCG
rnacentral:rRNA from 1 species